CUCGUAUUCCUCUCUAAAUUUCUACCCCAGAGAAUGUUUUGAAUUGUUGGGUCUGAUUUUCUGACCACAUGAAGGAUUCGAGUGAGAGGUGCUAAGAAACCAUAAAACAGUCAUGGUCUGAAAUUGAUGAAGUUGCUGCAAAAGCAAAUGGUCUAGCUAUCCUUCAAAACAAGCUCAAUACUUGCAUAACACUGGAUGCUGCUGAAGAGUUGAAAAACUUUUUGGACAGUUUCUUUUCAGUAGCAGCUCAAUAUGAUAGACCUCCAAGAUACCCAGUUGACCCUGUUUGCAAAGGUAUUGAUUCAGCUACAGAAGGAAGUGAUGUACUCGACAAGAUAUUUUCUGGAAUCGUUGCUUACUUCUGAGAAAAGCUUUGCUAUAAUCUAGACGCAUUCUUUUCAGCAGAAACACUGGAUGGCCGGACUUGUUGGACAUGUAGCGAACUUGUGAUGCCGAUUGGUCGUGGUAAAAAUGAUACCAUGUUUCUAGGCUUCUAGCAGACCAUUUGAUCUGAAGGAGUACAUUGAAGAAUGCAAAAGCAAAUAUGGAGUCCCCCUCUAGGCCUCUUUGGAUAACAACUUGCUAUGGCGGUCAUGUGUUGUUCAAACCGUGUGUGAAAUUUCAGUUGAUUUUAUGCAUUUUCAUAGUAGCGAUUUAAAGGCUGAUAUGAGCUCCAUUCUGUUUUUUUAUUGUUUUUUUUUUUUCUGCAAUGUGAAAUUGCAGCAUUUUAAAGAGGUGCUCGGGAGGUUGGCCAGCAACAUUAUCUUCUCCAAUGGCCUCCGCGAUCCUUGCAGCGGGGGGGUCAUCUACAUUCAGAGUUGUUUUUGUUUCUGAAUCUUUCAAGCCUUUACUCUGGCAUAUAUGACGUCACAAGUUAAAUGUUUUGUAGGCUGGAACAUAUCAGAUAGCAUUCUGGCAGUAUAUACAACCAAGGUAAUUCAUGUUCAUGCAACGAGCACCUUCACAUUGCAUAGAAAUUGAGACCAUUAGCGGAUGGAUCCUGAAGUACUAUCAAGACGUGCUUGAAAAUUCUUCAUUAAUAAUAUUUAUUCGUUGUCUGAAAACAUCGCCCCCACUCGCCCCCCUCCUUCGAACCUCUUUCUUUCUGCCGCAUGAAUGUUAGCCCUUUUCAUUCAGAAAUAGAGAUGGGUUUUGAUUAUUUGAAGGAACCGCUCGUGAAAAU